CGGUCCGAUUUUGCCGCCUUCAUCGGAAAUGGGGACUGAUGAGGGAUUUGCCCUCAGAGAAUGGAGAAGAGAGAAUGCAAUAAGAUUGGAGGAGAAGAAGAAGAGGGAAAAAGAGCUAUUGAAACAAAUAAUCCAGGAAGCUGAUGAAUACAAAGUUGAGUUCUACAGGAAGAGGGAGGUCACCUGUGAGAAUAAUAAAGUCACUAACAGGGAAAAGGAGAAGGUGAGAUUGGGUUUUGCACUUUUGAGCUAGAUGUUGUUAUUUUUCUUAUUUUAAGAUGAUGUCUUGCUUAAUAAUAUCAAUUUCCCACUUUGUUUAACUUUGUGAUUGGUUGUGGAAGAUAUGUUCUCAAAUUUCACACUUAUCAUUGUACUUGAUACAUCUGAAAGGAAGAGGACUUGUGUUAAUCAAUGGUAAGGGGUGCAUGUAAAAGUGUCAAGUUUCAUCCAUGUCAUGCUUUCAUAACUUCUUAAUGGGUAGAAUGUUAAUCUAAUCAGUGAGAAUUUGAUGCAUAUUUGCUUCGGUAGUCGACUGGGACGAAUUCUGGUUUGUAUGUAUUUGUUAAUUUGCUUUAUUUGAGAAGAAGAAUAAUCUUAGCAUAUCCAAAAUGAUCGUAGUCUGUCUCAACAACUUUAUGACCAUAGAAAUCUAUGGACUCCAGCCAAGAUUGGCUUGUUUUGUGACUCAGUCAAAAAACCGUACAGAUAUUAUGCAAGGCUCAAUAAAAUGGAAUAUUAAAUGUCAAUUACUGAAUAUAGAAACUUUGGAUAAUCAUUAAUAUUAAGGCAUCAGCGUCCUGGUUGUUCAUGAGGCUAAGUUCACUAUCACAUAAUUAGGUCUUUUUUCCCUGUCCUACACCUUUUUCCAUCUAUUGGUUGGUUAAUAUAUCUUAUUAUGUAAUUUUUUGGCUAGGCACCAGUUUUAGAACAUGAACUACUAGUGAGUCAUGUUCGCAUGUGCAGUUCAUUGUAAGCAACUUACUUGAAGGGGAAAAAAUUGUGUCUGAUCAAAAAACUUCAGGCACCACCGUUGAUAUUACUAGAAAUCAUUCGUCAUGCACUAGCAUGGUCCUAUCUUUUCUGGCGUAUCCAAAAUGAUAUUUACUAUAUGAGUGAUUGUGUCCAUUUAAUUAUAGGAAUGGCCUAACCUCUCUUGCGUCUUUAAGAAAAUCUGUUUGAGUUUUUCUUGGUUAUUAAUUUGUCGCUGUACGAGAACUCUAGAUGGUUGUUGGCACUAAAACAACCCCGUUUUUAUCAAAAAGCCAUCAUCUACUGCAUUAUAUAUGGUGAAUUUUUUUAUAUGACAUUCCCAUGACUUUAGAAGGGGAGCUGCAAAAUCAUGUGGUGCAGACUGAGGAAGGGAAAUAUUCAAAACUUUCAUGCUAAACCUAAACUUUUGCACAAACAUGAAUUGUGGAAGUUGAUGAACUAGCUUGGAGGUUAUUUGGACAGCUGGUUAGAUUGACCAUGCACUUGUUUUGUUUUGUUUUGGCUAACAAGUGAAUUGCUUUUUGUAAGGAAAGGCUUCCCAAAAUGUAUAUUUUAAACACCAAGUUCUAUUUAGAUCAAGCAAUGAACUGUGUACUCUUCUGAUUCGUGUUCUCCUCUUUGUCAGAUAUUUUUGGCCAACCAGGAGA
rnacentral:misc_RNA from 1 species